GUCUCGGAUAGCAUAACUGGAAGAGCCCUUGGCGCGUAACCGAGAGAUCUGGGUUCGAUUCCCAGUCUGGGCU
rnacentral:tRNA from 1 species